rnacentral:rRNA from 1 species
UUCGGCGGUCUUACCGGCAGGGGUACACCUCUUCCCAUUCCGAACAGAGAAGUUAAGCCUGCUAGGGCCGAUGGUACUCGGAGGGCAACCUCCCGGGAGAGUAGGUCGCCGCCGAAU